rnacentral:lncRNA from 1 species
CAGGCAGCUAUUCCCAACCCCAGAACCUUUGCUGUCUUGGAACAGAUCACCACUGCAAGAGGGGAAGUUGCUACUGUGAUGAAUUCUGCCAUGUGGUACCAGACUGCUACCCAGACCACAGUGUCCUCUGCAACCCUCCUUCUCAGAUGACCAAGAUGGUGCUGCAGAUGGUGCUGAGGAUGGAGAACCCACCAAGCCCCGCUAGGAGCCACCUAGACUGGAUGUAGAGCAUGGUUCAGCGAGUUCUCCAAACCAGCCUCCCAGGAAUGCCGGUCUCCAUGGCUGUGAGGGGAAUCAAGAAGAGAGCCUGACUCCUCUCCUGAGGCCCCUUCCCCACCCUGAGCCAGCAGGAUCCACGGAGCAGAGGUCAUCUGUCCCCAGCUUGGCCCGCUGAGGCCAGCAUGGCUGGGCCCAUGAUGCUUGUCUCUCAGCUCCCAUCCUGUGUACUUCCACAUUGGUUUAACCAGAGCAAAACUGAAAUCUACAAUUGUCAUAAACACAUUUAAAUGUGCGUAGAAUCAGCCUUACAGGUUGUGAAACAUG